CCGCCUUUCAUCCUUCUUCAAGUCACAGAGAGACAGAGAGGAGGGGACGAAGGACGAGCCAUGGGGUUUUGAAAGCAGGCACAGCAGCAGGGGUGCUGCCUCCAGGGGUCUGCUCUGCCAAGAGUUCCUGUCCCAGGGCCUGCUCUCUGUCAUGUGAUGCUAUACUACAGCCAGGCUGGAAUUUGGUGUCUUAUUGCUACAAAGAAUCAGCUUUGUCAAUCCUAAGGUCACUGAGAGGCUGCCAGAGGGCCAUUUUCAUGACCAGAGGGAUCUGUUCAACACCCUGUGGGUCCCAGCACCUAUCUCAGGAAGCAGGGUGCAUCUGUCCACCACCAAGUCUCAGGGUGGCUGGGUGAGCGCUCAUCAGUCCCAGACAGCAGGUUGGCACAAAACGACACUGCCCACAAAACCACAGGAAGAAGAGAAACUCCGACUGUCUUUCAGCACACAGAAGACACUGUACUGGACCCGGACAUUAGGCAGACACCCACGCCUGACUUUCAGGAGAAAAGAGAACAUGACUAACGGAUAUUCUUAGUAGAUGGUUUAUUAGAAAAGAGAACAUCUUCCAGCAUGUGUCCUGGGGUGAUGGGUGUGGGAAGCACUCAGUCCAUAGUCCUGGUCCCUGGCUUCCCCAAGCCCAGCACCAUGAAUGUACAGUGGAAAGCAGAGGGUGCAGCGUCUCAGAAAGAUGCUUCCACUCACAAGGAUUGGAGCUCACAAGUGAGCUCCAUAACCUGCAAACCAGAGAAACCUGAGACACUGCCCCUUGGCCAUUUUAUCAACGGAGACUUUAUUGUGAUUAUCCCGGCAGGGGGCCGAGCUCUCCUCUCUGCAACAGGAAAUGCUCUUUAGUGAAAAUGCAGCAUUUCUCCAAGGGUAACAAAGCUGAACGCCUGCUUAGCUUAUGAACCCUCAGUUGGCCUAGGUGGUGCAAAGACCCUGCUGUUACUGCUUUGAUCAUCAGUACUGUGGACUGUACCAGGAGAUCCCUGGGAAUGUGCUCUGGGCGGAAGCAGCUUUUAUCUUUGGCCCUCACCCAUGCUUUAUAUGGUGAGGUUGGGAAAAUGGCACAAGGCUUCUCCUGAACCUCAAAUCAACACCCUUGCCCCAUUUAGAUCCUAUCUGGCUGUUUCUUGCUAAUAUUACUGCAUCACUGCACCAUCUUUCCUAUUUCAGCAAAGUGGAGUCAUGUGUGGUUUAUGGGGUAGAUGGACCCCAAAACUGAUAAUAUGAAUCAAGCUAUGGUGUUUACUCCCUAGGAAAUGCACAAUUUUUCUGGAAACCUACAGAAGCUUCAAAUGCAUUCGCCAUGCAAAGCUAAGUCAGCAGAACAACCCGUUUGGCUUUGGAGGCUAGUUCAGUUCCGCGGACAGGGAGAAAGAUGAGGCAGACUGUGGUUUUUCAGUUCCUGGAGCUUACGGAGCUCCAAAGCUCCCUCUCUUCCCACCCUGGCUGCACUGUUCUUAAUUUUAGAUAAUACCCUGCCUUCUCGUAUUGCUGCUGAGCUCCUAGCAUCCUCAGUUUAUCUGUCUGUGAAAUGAAAAAUCUAAUGUUAAAUUUUUUACCUAUGGCAUGAGAGAGAUGGCUAUGGCUCUUGUGAGCCUCUCUGCAGCCCCUCUUUUCCUUCAAUCACCCUCUGUCUCUCCUGCCUUCUGCUUAUUCUCUCUCUCCCCUCAUCCCCACUUUCCCAGUGGGUCCUCUGUUCUCUUUUUUUUUUUCUUUUUAAAUCUCUCUAUGCCUCCAGCCGAGAAGAUAAAGAGUGUACAUCUUUCUGGUUAAAAAGUUUUGCUUUGCAGAAACACAGCCAAUUUAUGAUUCUGGCCUUCCCAGCUAGGGACAGUGUUCAUUUACAUUUAGGACCAUGAGGAGAGAGGCUUAGCUGUGUGUUUCUGAGGCCGGAGAAAAUUACAGUGAUAUAUAACAGUGCUGCACUCAUAGAGGUGCUGAGCCGGGGUUGGGCUCAGGCGGCCGCUAAGCUCAGAGUGGAAAGUUUCAGAGGGGAGGCAGAAAGGAGAGGUCUAUAGCUCCUCCAGAUUCUAGGUAUUAAUUUACUAAGAUAUUCCUAAGCCAGAAAACAGAGACAGAAGACAAAGAGAAAGAGGGAAGAAGAGCAAGACAGAGAGUUAGAGAGAGACAAAGAGAGAGAGUUAGAGACAAAGAGAGAGUGGAGAGGAGAGAGAGCAAAUAUUGAAAGGAAAAGGAAAAAGAAAGAAACCUGACAGC
rnacentral:lncRNA from 1 species